CCACGGGGGGCAGCAGUGGGGAAUAUUGGACAAUGGGGGCAACCCUGAUCCAGCCAUGCCGCGUGUGUGAAGAAGGCCCUCGGGUUGUAAAGCACUUUCAGUGAGGAAGAACGCCUGGUGGUUAAUACCCAUCAGGAAAGACAUCACUCACAGAAGAAGCACCGGCUAACUCCGUGCCAGCAGCCGCGGUAAUACGGAGGGUGCGAGCGUUAAUCGGAAUUACUGGGCGUAAAGCGCGCGUAGGUGGCUUGAUAAGCCGGUUGUGAAAGCCCCGGGCUCAACCUGGGAACGGCAUCCGGAACUGUCAAGCUAGAGUGCAGGAGAGGAAGGUAGAAUUCCCGGUGUAGCGGUGAAAUGCAUAGAGAUCGGGAGGAAUACCAGUGGCGAAGGCGGCCUUCUGGACUGACACUGACACUGAGGUGCGAAAGCGUGGGUAGCAAACAGGAUUAGAUACCCUAGUAGUC
rnacentral:rRNA from 1 species